GUAUCCUCCGCCUAUUUCUAAAACAAAUUCUCCUUUCCCUUUUCUCUCAAUUGAGAAAAGUGAAUCACUCAAUCUCAAACGACAAGGCUAUUAAACUCUCAAUUUUGAAUCUAAAUUAGAGAGAGUCCCACUAAGGAUACCAGCAAGUGCCAGAAA